rnacentral:rRNA from 1 species
GAUGAACGCUGGCGGCGUGCUUAACACAUGCAAGUCGAACGAUGAAGCCCAGCUUGCUGGGUGGAUUAGUGGCGAACGGGUGAGUAACACGUGAGUAACCUGCCCUUGACUCUGGGAUAAGCCCGGGAAACUGGGUCUAAUACCGGAUAGGAGCGCCUGUCGCAUGACGGGUGUUGGAAAGAUUUUUCGGUCAUGGAUGGACUCGCGGCCUAUCAGCUUGUUGGUGAGGUAAUGGCUCACCAAGGCGACGACGGGUAGCCGGCCUGAGAGGGUGACCGGCCACACUGGGACUGAGACACGGCCCAGACUCCUACGGGAGGCAGCAGUGGGGAAUAUUGCACAAUGGGCGGAAGCCUGAUGCAGCGACGCCGCGUGAGGGAUGACGGCCUUCGGGUUGUAAACCUCUUCAGUAGGGAAAGAAUGCGAAAAGUGACGGUACCUGCAG